rnacentral:tRNA from 1 species
UGAAAUGGCUCAGAUGGUAGAGCAAUUGAUUCGUAAUCAAUAGAUCGCAGGUUCGAGUCCUGUUUUCAGC